rnacentral:rRNA from 1 species
CGAACGCUGGCGGCGUGCUUAACACAUGCAAGUCUAACGGAAAGGCCCUGCUUUUGUGGGGUGCUCGAGUGGCGAACGGGUGAGUAACACGUGAGUAACCUGCCCUUGACUUUGGGAUAACUUCAGGAAACUGGGGCUAUUACCGGAUAGGAGCUCCUGCUGCAUGGUGGGGGUUGGAAAGUUUCGGCGGUUGGGGAUGGACUCGCGGCUUAUCAGCUUGUUGGUGGGGUAGUGGCUUACCAAGGCUUUGACGGGUAGCCGGCCUGAGAGGGUGACCGGCGACAUGGGGACUGAGAUACGGACCAGAGUCCAACGGGAGGCAGCAGUGGGGAAUAUGGCACAAUGGGCGGAAGCCUGAUGCGGCAACGCAGCGUGCGGGAUGACGGCCUUCGGGGUGUAAACCGCUUUCGCCUGUGACGAAGCGUGAGUGACGGUAAUGGGUAAAGAAGCACCGGCUAACUACGUG